CCUACGAGCGGCUGCAGUGGGGAAUAUUGGACAAUGGGGGCAACCCUGAUCCAGCCAUGCCGCGUGUGUGAAGAAGGCCCUCGGGUUGUAAAGCACUUUCAGUGAGGAAGAACGCCUGGUGGUUAAUACCCAUCAGGAAAGACAUCACUCACAGAAGAAGCACUGGCUAACUCCGUGCCAGCAGCCGCGGUAAUACGGAGGGUGCGAGCGUUAAUCGGAAUUACUGGGCGUAAAGCGCGCGUAGGUGGCUUGAUAAGCCGGUUGUGAAAGCCCCGGGCUCAACCUGGGAACGGCAUCCGGAACUGUCAAGCUAGAGUGCAGGAGAGGAAGGUAGAAUUCCCGGUGUAGCGGUGAAAUGCGUAGAGAUCGGGAGGAAUACCAGUGGCGAAGGCGGCCUUCUGGACUGACACUGACACUGAGGUGCGAAAGCAUGGGUAGCAAACAGGAUUAGAUACCCGUGUAGUC
rnacentral:rRNA from 1 species